GAAUCCAUGGUAUAGUGGUUUGACUGUUGGACUACAAUUCUGGAGACCAGGGUUCAAAUCUCUGCUUGGUCA
rnacentral:tRNA from 1 species